GCUGGGUGUGGUGGUGGGUGCCUGUAAUCCCAGCUACUUGGGAGGCUGAGGUAGGAGAAUUGCUUGAACCCGGGAGGCGGAGGUUGCAGUGAGCCAAGAUUGUGCCACUGCACUCCAGCCUGGGUGACAGAGCAAGACUCUGUCUCAA
rnacentral:SRP_RNA from 1 species